rnacentral:lncRNA from 12 species
CUUUGAAUAUAUCUGCUUUACAAAAAAAAUAUGUAUCUCUUACAUAUAUUUUUCAAUCUUUGGUGAGCUAUAAUUUAGUACUGUGCUCUAAUUGUUUGUGUAUUUCUAAAAUGCUUAGCUAACGGAAGCCCUGCCAAAGAAUGCCAUGAUCAGUUGCUUCUAGACCUUGUAAAUAACUGCUUAUGCAAGCCUACAGACAGACCAUCUUUAUAUAGUCCUGAUGCAACUGUGUAUAUGGGAUGCUUAGUCAUUAUUAUGUAACCAUUGAGCAAUGUAGCUAGAUAAUGCUGAUGGCAUACUAAAUUGUUUUUCAGAUAAAGACAUUAGAUCCAGUAUUCUGGCUUGAAAAAAGGGUUAGCAUUCUCCAGUGCCUUUGUGUUCUUCCCUAGCAUCACAGUUUAAUUGCCCCUGGAAGCCUGCAUGCUUUUACUUCAUCCUUUAUCACCAAGAGCCCUUAUAGAGGCAGUGCAUAUCCCCAGCCAUGAGAGAGGCCCUACCAGACAGACUCCUUCCCUGGAACUAUGCUCAGCAUCUCAGCUCCCAGCCACCAGAGCUUUGAACUUUGUCUGUAUUUUCUCUAUACCUGUAUACAUUCAACACUUGGAAUACAUAUGGAUUCACCAACCACUUGAAAUCAUGCCAUUACCCUCUUCUUUGUCAUUCCUGUAAA